rnacentral:tRNA from 1 species
GGAGAGGUGGCUGAGUGGUCGAAAGCGGCAGAUUGCUAAUCUGUUGUAGGAGCAAUCCUACCGAGGGUUCGAAUCCCUCCUUCUCCG